CCUUCUGUGAUGAUUUUAUCAGAAUGACUUUCGUUCUUCUGAAUUUGCUGAAGCCAAAUUUUUUGUCUGAGAAGG